rnacentral:lncRNA from 1 species
GUAUUUUUGGUAUGAGGCAUAGUGACAUUGCCUUCUCUCUCACCCUACUCUAAUAAGGCUUUUGAUAUCUGGAGCUCAUAGGUGGGAGACAGCUAAUACAUACUUACAAGACAUUUAUUGCAUAGUCAAACCAUGGAUCUAGAAGAACAAGUGAAUAAGUCAAAUCAAGAUGUGCAUGUGUGGCGAAUGAAUGGUAUAGGGUAAUGAUGGUGAUAACAAUGGUGAAAGUCUAAUUCUACUUAUGCUCUUUUGAGGGGAUACAUACCUUUCUUGCUCUUUUGAAACUUUUUGAGGAGAAUGAGAUGCUCUAUAUUUUCUUUUUCUUUUCUCUUAGGUGGGUAUCUUGUACCCCUAAUUCUACUGUCGAACACUUGUCCAUUUUUACCUCUCGUCUCACUUUUUCAUUUCUUUCGAGGUUCCGGGCACUUGCCCCUUUUUAUUUCCUCAUAUCUUUUUUUUAGAGCACUCAUCACCUGAAAUAAUAUAGCAAGUGGUAG